AUUGCAUUUUAUAUUUUACAGACAUCUUUUCAACAGAAAGACGGCUUACAGGGUACAUCUUGAAGGCUGCUGAUGUAAGAGGCGGAACAUGGUGCAGAUACAGGACUGAAAACAAAGACAUCCAAACCUUGAGCCAUUUAGAAGAAGCCAAAAUCUGUGCCAGAGGUUUGUCUGUUGGGUUUACUCAUGGCUUCAGGUACGCUUCUUUCCCUGGGUUGUUUAGCAUUUCAGAGGCCCUC
rnacentral:lncRNA from 1 species